CUGUUGAGGUGAGAUAAAGUGGACGUGGCUAUCAAUACCACCUGCGGUGACUAUCAAGCCUUCACCUGAAAUAACCUCAGUACCCGCGCCAAUUUGAAAAUCCACGCCAUCUUGAAUAUCAGAGUUACCAGCCUUUCCAAUUGCGGCAAUGCGGCCAUACUUAAUACCGAUAUCAGCUUUGUAAAUACCGGUGUAAUCGACAAUAACAGCGUUAGUAAUUACAGUGUCGACAAUAUCUUUAU
rnacentral:sRNA from 1 species